rnacentral:lncRNA from 1 species
AGUUUCACUAUGACUAUGGUGAACUAAACCCUAUUGUUGUUGGGGGAAACAAUGUAAUCUUUUGAUGCUCUCUUUUAUUGAAACUCUUGAUUAUUUAUAUGGUCUCCAUAUGUUUUGGUUGUUAAUUGUUGGGUUAUCAUCUGUGCUUAAGGCCUUUAUCGUUUAACUCAUUCGCUAACUGAUGUUUGUCUUUAUUGAUAUGGGGACGUACAAAAAUGACAUGAACUGGUGAGUAAUUUCUUGAUUUUGCAAUACCACCUAGGGAUAGGGGUAGGACGAUCAAUUGUGCUAACUUCUGUUUAUAAUGCGGUAUUAAUUACUAGGGGAGGCUAGGGAUAGCAAGCCAGUAGUUAAUAUUAGGCCGUUUUCGCCGAGGGAUCGGGUUAAGGGGAGGCUAAGAAAGUCGCAUAACAAUUAAAUUAAUCAAACUAAUAUUCAAGGGUAGUAGGUAAGAGAGAGUGGAUUAGAUGAAAUUGUGAACCCCCAACAACAUCCAUUCAUCCAUUGUUUUCUUUUGUCAAUUGAAUCAACUUUAUUUUGCAUGUUA